UACGUAGGGUGCGAGCGUUGUCCGGAAUUAUUGGGCGUAAAGAGCUUGUAGGCGGUUUGUCGCGUCUGCUGUGAAAAUCCGAGGCUCAACCUCGGACUUGCAGUGGGUACGGGCAGACUAGAGUGUGGUAGGGGAGACUGGAAUUCCUGGUGUAGCGGUGGAAUGCGCAGAUAUCAGGAGGAACACCGAUGGCGAAGGCAGGUCUCUGGGCCGCUACUGACGCUGAGAAGCGAAAGCAUGGGGAGCGAACAGG
rnacentral:rRNA from 1 species